AGCCAGGAGCACCAGCCCCCUGGCAGCCAGCUCUGGGAACUCAUUGGGGGAUGGAAAGGCUGACCUGAGCUCCCUCUUGAAGGCUUGGGGAGGCUCAGGUCUGGACAGCUGUGUCUAGAUGUGGAGGAGACAGUGUGUGCAGCAGGGGGACUAGGAGGAGCACCAAGGCGGUCUCCCCCGCCUGGAUCAUCUGGUCCCCAAGCCCAGACAUAGUCCCAGCGGCUUCUGACUGGCCAAAGAAGCCCCUCAACCCCAGGAUGCAGGGGUGUCUUGGUGAAGCUAACUCCACCUCCCCAGAAGCCCUGUAAGGAAGAACCUGAGCAGGCCAUUUUAAAGAUGAGGAUACAGAGGCCUGAAAGGGCAGGGCCAGGUCACCCAGCAGGGAAGGCUGUGGUGUGAUUCUUAUCCAUCAACCCAGACCCAGCCAGAUGUGUCAGUGCUGCCCUAAAACAAGCCUCACCUCACCUCUUGGGCCACCCUGACCCCACACCUCAUGGUAUCCUCCCACCGAGGGCACAAGGGCUUCCCCCCUACGCCCUGUCUACCAGGCACCAACCCGGACUCCAGGGAUUCUCAAAGACCCCACAACGGGUAGGAGAGGAGGUGCAGAACCCUCCCCCAACACACACACAUACACACCAAGAAAAGGCAAACACAAACGCACUCCCACACCAACCCCCCCAACACACACACACACACACACACACACACACGGCAGGAAAAAGCAAAGAAAGGCAGAGGUCAGAACCCGCCCCAGGGCUUCCGAAGCCCCAGGCAGCCUGUUUAGCCAGCAGGUGAGACGGCCACGCCGUCCCUGUCUCUGAGGUAAGUGGUCUCAGCACAGGCCUGCCAAGCAGGUCACUUACUCCGUAGGGCCGCAGUCACGACUGGCAGCAGCCCUGGAGGUGGGUGCUCAGGGCCUGAGAACUUCACCGUGUGAAUUUCAGGCUGACCAGGUGCAUCAUGCACAGAGCCAGGUGCACUGAGGGGCUACCUCCGCACCCGGAGUGGCAAGCUCGCCCCCCACGCGCAGCCGCGAAUCUGGAGGGCAAACCCAAGGGAAAACGAGGCUACCCUCCCCCGGCGCCUAAUGCCCUCCGCCACCCACCACUCACCCGGAACCAGCGCGCAAUCUGUGGUGCACGAACCGUUCCCUCUCACUUCUCCAGGCCUUGGGAGACCCGGUCCCGAGGGGGAAGACGCUUGCGGGCAGCCGGGACACAGGCGGGGCAUCUGGAGCUUUUUGAGUCCACCCGCCCUGCCUCCCACCCCGGGAAGACACAUCAGCUGGCGCUGAGGAAUGCCCUACGGUACUUCCCCCCGCAUGUCCAGGAGCUACUGGCCCUCGAGUUCGUCUAGCAGCUGCAGCUAGCUGUACAGGUACAUCUACAUGUAUCGGUUCUGCCCUGACUUGGAAAUGAAGUGAGUGUGGGGUUGGGGGGGCAAGCUUCAGAGGCCAGAGUGGGGGGAUUGGGGGUGCUUCCCAGAGGUACCCUGCCCAGGUCGGGACGCAGCCAGAGGGGAGUGCAGGCCGUCCACUUUAGGAGGGCUGUGGCCACAUCCCCCGAGGGCCAGGCUUGGGGCUGCAGCUAGCCCUAGGCAGAAGGACCUGCCUUCCUCACAGUCCCCAGGGGAUGCUGCCUAGCCCUGUAUCACAUUCUGAGCACCAUUGUCCUUGAAAACACCAGAAGGCCAGACUGUCUGGAACAACCCCACAAAGCAGGCACCGUGUCCCCUCGCUCCUGUCCAGGCCUGCUGGCCUGGCACCCUCUCCAGAAUUGCUCAGGAGCCCUGGUGGUGCAAAGGAAAGGACAGGUAAAUAAAGUCUGUCAGGAGGGGAAGCUUCA
rnacentral:lncRNA from 1 species